rnacentral:rRNA from 1 species
UACGUAGGGGGCAAGCGUUGUUCGGAGUUACUGGGCGUAAAGGGUGCGUAGGUGGCUCUAUAAGUAUGGUGUGAAAUCUCCCGGCUUAACUGGGAGGGUGCGCCGUAGACUGUGGGGCUAGAGUGUGGGAGAGGAAAGUGGAAUUCCUGGUGUAGCGGUGAAAUGCGUAGAUAUCAGGAGGAACACCGGUGGUGUAAACGGCUUUCUGGACCAUAACUGACACUGAGGCACGAAAGCGUGGGUAGCAAACAGG